UACGAAGGGGGCUAGCGUUGUUCGGAAUCACUGGGCGUAAAGCGCACGCAGGCGGAUCGUUAAGUCAGGGGUGAAAUGCCAAGGCUCAACCUUGGAACUGCCUCUGAUACUGGCGAUCUUCGAGUCCGGGAGAGGUGAGUGGAACUGCGAGUGUAGAGGUGAAAUUCGUAGAUAUUCGCAAGAACACCAGUGGCGAAGGCGGCUCACUGGCCCGGUACUGACGCUGAGGUGCGAAAGCGUGGGGAGCAAACAGG
rnacentral:rRNA from 1 species